AGUGCAGGAUAGUGUGUAUCGGCUCUUGCUCAUAUAAUGCAAUCUUAACCGAAAGUGUUUCCUGCAAAAUUGAUUAUGGUGAAAAUGGGCAGUUGGGUUUCGCUUAUUUGUGAGGAUCUCAACAAUCAUUUUCUUCAUAUUU